AUCGCUUCUCAGCCUUUUGGCUAAGAUCAAGUGUAGUAUCUGUUCUUGUCAAUUUAAUAUGUGACACAUCCUCUAUUCAAGGACAAUAGAUUAAAUAGAUUUUUGGAGCAGGGAGGUGGAAUAGGAAUUUGCUCCAUCCACUCCAUGCAUUGACCUGGUAUUGCAGUACCUCUGGGAAUGGUGCAUCCCUU